rnacentral:lncRNA from 1 species
UUGAGAUGAGAUUUUUAUUCAAACAACAAUAUUAAGUAAAACAAACAAGUGGUCACUAUGGGCUGUGGAGUGAUGGGGGAACACAAUUAAUUUGGCAAAGCUUCCAUGUUCGAUAACAUUUAUCAUUAUAUCCGCAACACAUACAAUGAAUAUCGCCGCAUUUGUAUUCCAAACAUGGAAUUACCACUAUUUUGUUGCCCUCUUCCAUCCUUUCAAUAUCUCGACCUUUAAUUUUAGAACAACAAAAAGUAAAACCAAAUUAGUAUAAAGAAAAUAUUUUAUUUUUUUUUGUUAAGAGAAUAUUAGGAAGUAUUGUUAUUGAUCAUCUUUUAAAUUAUAUUUACUUCGUUUGAUUAAAUGAGCAUGUUAAGACCACUUAAUAUAAAAAUGCUAGAGUAUCCAAUAAUAAUUGACACAAUGAUGCUUACCAUGACUAAGAGUAUAAAGACAUCCAAGGAUAGCUAGUAUGAUAACCAAGCGUGUGGUUG